GUAAGUGUGGUAACACAUUUAGCUGACCAAUACUAAUAGGUCGAGGUCUUAAUCUAA
rnacentral:rRNA from 1 species